GGAGGACCGAACCCACGUACGUUGAAAAGUGCGGGGAUGACUUGUGGGUAGCGGUGAAAUUCCAAUCGAGCUCGGAGAUAGCUGGUUCUCCUCGAAAUAGCUUUAGGGCUAGCCUUGAAUGUAGAGAUGUGGAGGUAGAGCACUGAAUGUCCUAGGGGGUAUUGCACUUACCGAAGACUAUCAAACUCCGAAUGCCGUAUUCUUUUGCUUGGGAGUCAGACUAUGGGUGAUAAGAUUCAUAGUCAAGAGGGCAACAGCCCAGAUCGUCAGCUAAGGUCCCUAAAUGUAAGUUAAGUGGUAAAGGAUGUGGAAUUGCACAGACAACCAGGAUGUUGGCUUAGAAGCAGCCACUCAUUUAAAGAGUGCGUAAUAGCUCACUGGUCGAGUGAUUCUGCGCCGAAAAUUUCCGGGGCUAAAACUUACUACCGAAGCUACGGCAUCAUUAUGAUGGGUAGGGGAGCUUUCUAUGUGGCUUGAAGCAUGACCGUAAGGACAUGUGGACUGCAUAGAAGUGAGAAUGUUGGCAUGAGUAGCGAGAUGUGGGUGAGAAUCCCACAGGCCGUAAACCCAAGGUUUCCAGGGGAAGGUUCGUCCGCCCUGGGUUAGUCAGGACCUAAGCCGAGGCCGAAAGGCGUAGGUGAUGGACAACAGGUUGAUAUUCCUGUACCACCAAUAACCGUUUGAGAAAUGGGAUGACACAGUAGGAUAAGCUAACCGCACUGUUGGUUAUGUGCGGGCAAGUAUUGAGGCAGUUCCGAUAGGCAAAUCCGUCGGAAUAAUGCUGGGGUACGAUGCGGAGCGAAAUUUAGUAGCGAAGUAGCUGAUUUCACACUGUCGAGAAAAGUCUCUAUCGAGGUUAAAGGUGCCUGUACCGCAAACCGACACAGGUGGGUGAGGAGAGUAUCCUAAGGCCAGCGAGAGAACUGUUGUUAAGGAACUCGGCAAAAUGACCCCGUAACUUAGGGAGAAGGGGUGCCUUCGAAAGAAGGCCGCAGAGAAUAGGCCCAAGCGACUGUUUACCAAAAACAUAGGUUUCUGCUAAGUCGCAAGACGAUGUAUAGGAGCUGACGCCUGCCCGGUGCUGGAAGGUUAAGGGGAUCUGUUAGAGCAAUCGAAGCAGUGAACUUAAGCCCCAGUAAACGGCGGCCGUAACUAUAACGGUCCUAAGGUAGCGAAAUUCCUUGUCGGGUAAGUUCCGACCCGCACGAAAGGCGUAAUGAUUUGGGCACUGUCUCAACAAGAGACUCGGUGAAAUUUUAGUACCUGUGAAGAUGCAGGUUACCCGCGACAGGACGGAAAGACCCCAUGGAGCUUUACUGUAGCUUGACAUUGAGUCUCGGUGCUACAUGUACAGGAUAGGUGGGAGACUAUGAAGCAUGGACGUCAGUCUGUGUGGAGUCAUCCUUGGGAUACCACCCUUGUAGUACUGGGAUUCUAACCAGAGGCCAUGAAUCUGGUCUUGGGACACUGUCAGGUGGACAGUUUGACUGGGGCGGUCGCCUCCCAAAAAGUAACGGAGGCGCUCAAAGGUUCUCUCAGUACGGUCGGAAAUCGUACGAAGAGUGUAAAGGCAAAAGAGAGCUUGAUUGCAAGACAUACAGGUCGAGCAAGGACGAAAGUCGGACUUAGUGAUCCGGUGGUUCCGCAUGGAAGGGCCAUCGCUCAACGGAUAAAAGCUACCCUGGGGAUAACAGGCUGAUCUCCCCCAAGAGUCCACAUCGACGGGGAGGUUUGGCACCUCGAUGUCGGCUCAUCACAUCCUGGGGCUGUAGUAGGUCCCAAGGGUUGGGCUGUUCGCCCAUUAAAGUGGUACGCGAGCUGGGUUCAGAACGUCGUGAGACAGUUCGGUCCCUAUCCGUCGCAGGCGUAGGAAAUUUGAGGAGACCUGUCCUUAGUACGAGAGGACCGGGAUGGACGUACCGCUGGUGUACCAGUUGUUCUGCCAAGGGCAUGGCUGGGUAGCUAAGUACGGAAAGGAUAAGCGCUGAAAGCAUCUAAGCGCGAAGCCCACUUCAAGAUAAGAUUUCCCACCGCAAGGUUAAGAUCCCAGGAAGACUACCUGGUUGA
rnacentral:rRNA from 1 species